CCCAGAUGGGAUUAGCUAGUAGGUGGGGUAACGGCUCACCUAGGCGACGAUCCCUAGCUGGUCUGAGAGGAUGACCAGCCACACUGGAACUGAGAUACGGUCCAGACUCCUACGGGAGGCAGCAGUGGGGAAUAUUGCACAAUGGGCGCAAGCCUGAUGCAGCCAUGCCGCGUGUGUGAAGAAGGCCUUCGGGUUGUAAAGCACUUUCAGCGGGGAGGAAGGCGAUAAGGUUAAUAACCUUGUCGAUUGACGUUACCCGCAGAAGAAGCACCGGCUAACUCCGUGCCAGCAGCCGCGGUAAUACGGAGGGUGCAAGCGUUAAUCGGAAUUACUGGGCGUAAAGCGCACGCAGGCGGUCUGUCAAGUCGGAUGUGAAAUCCCCGGGCUUAACCUGGGAACUGCAUUCGAAACUGGCAGGCUAGAGUCUUGUAGAGGGGGGUAGAAUUCCAGGUGUAGCGGUGAAAUGCGUAGAGAUCUGGAGGAAUACCGGUGGCGAAGGCGGCCCCCUGGACAAAGACUGACGCUCAGGUGCGAAAGCGUGGGGAGCAAACAGGAUUAGAUACCCUGGUAGUCCACGCCGUAAACGAUGUCGAUUUGGAGGUUGUGCCCUUGAGGCGUGGCUUCCGGAGCUAACGCGUUAAAUCGACCGCCUGGGGAGUACGGCCGCAAGGUUAAAACUCAAAUGAAUUGACGGGGGCCCGCACAAGCGGUGGAGCAUGUGGUUUAAUUCGAUGCAACGCGAAGAACCUUACCUGGUCUUGACAUCCACAGAACUUUCCAGAGAUGGAUUGGUGCCUUCGGGAACUGUGAGACAGGUGCUGCAUGGCUGUCGUCAGCUCGUGUUGUGAAAUGUUGGGUUAAGUCCCGCAACGAGCGCAACCCUUAUCCUUUGUUGCCAGCGGUUAGGCCGGGAACUCAAAGGAGACUGCCAGUGAUAAACUGGAGGAAGGUGGGGAUGACGUCAAGUCAUCAUGGCCCUUACGACCAGGGCUACACACGUGCUACAAUGGCAUAUACAAAGAGAAGCGACCUCGCGAGAGCAAGCGGACCUCAUAAAGUAUGUCGUAGUCCGGAUUGGAGUCUGCAACUCGACUCCAUGAAGUCGGAAUCGCUAGUAAUCGUAGAUCAGAAUGCUACGGUGAAUACGUUCCCGGGCCUUGUACACACCGCCCGUCACACCAUGGGAGUGGGUUGCAAAAGAAGUAGGUAGCUUAACCUUCGGGAGGGCGCUUACCACUUUGUGAUUCAUGACUGGGGUGAAGUCGUAACAAGGUAACCGUAGGGGAACCUGCGGUUGGAUCACCU
rnacentral:rRNA from 1 species